rnacentral:rRNA from 1 species
ACCCGCUGAACUUAAGCAUAUCAAUAAGCGGAGGAAAAGAAACCAACAGGGAUUGCCUUAGUAACGGCGAGUGAAGCGGCGACAGCUCAAAUUUGAAAUCUGGCCUCUUUGGGGUCCGAGUUGUAAUUUGCAGAGGGCGCUUUGGCGUUGGCAGCGGUCCAAGUUCCUUGGAACAGGACGUCACAGAGGGUGAGAAUCCCGUACGUGGUCGCUAGCCUUCGCCGUGUAAAGCCCCUUCGACGAGUCGAGUUGUUUGGGAAUGCAGCUCUAAAUGGGAGGUAAAUUUCUUCUAAAGCUAAAUACUGGCCAGAGACCGAUAGCGCACAAGUAGAGUGAUCGAAAGAUGAAAAGCACUUUGGAAAGAGAGUCAAACAGCACGUGAAAUUGUUGAAAGGGAAGCGCUUGCAGCCAGACUUGCCUGUAGUUGCUCAUCCGGGCUUUUGCCCGGUGCACUCUUCUGCGGGCAGGCCAGCAUCAGUUUGGGCGGUUGGAUAAAGGUCUCUGUCAUGUACCUCUCUUCGGGGAGGCCUUAUAGGGGAGACGACAUGCAACCAGCCCAGACUGAGGUCCGCGCAUUUGCUAGGAUGCUGGCGUAAUGGCUGU